rnacentral:lncRNA from 1 species
CAUAUCACGUCAUACCACAUUACCUUUUAAAAGUGCCCACAGUCAAGAUUAAGUCCUCUAUGGGUGCACCACGGAUUCUAAGACAAACUACUCCUGAACUUCUGAAUAUUGCACUAUAUAUACUGGAUACAUAUAACUUGGUGUAGCUCUAGUCAUAUAUGUAUUAAGAAAUUAUAAAAUCAACCAAUAAGACAUUUUAGAAUCAACCGAAUUUCUAUUUCACAAUAAUGGAACAUAAUUUUCAAAGAAUACAUAAGAUGAGUGUAUACCAAGUUACAUCAACAGCGCUCUUUCUAAUGGUAGUGGUCAUUACUAUGAAUCCUACAUCCGCAACCAGUACAACAAUCACUGAUGCAUCGACAAAAACUGAUGAACCCACUACAACCGUAACUGAUGCAUCGACUACAACUGGUGAACCCACUACAACCGUAACUGAUGCAUCGACUACAACUGGUGAACCCACUACAACCGUAACUGAUGCAUCGACUACAACUGGUGAACCUACUACAACCAUCACUGAGUCAUCAACAACAACUGGUGAACCCACUACAACCAUCACUGAGUCAUCAAAAACAACUGGUGAACCAAAUACAACAUUCAUUGACGCAUCGACAACAACUGGUGAACCGCUACAACCGUCACUAAUUCACCACCAACAACUGGUGAACCAACUAAAACCACCACUAAAUCAACAAAAUCAACUGGUGAACCAACUAAAACCACCACUAAAUCAACAAAAACAACUGGUGAACCAACUAAAACCACCACUAAAUCAACAAAAACAACUGCUGAACCAACUAAAACCACCACUAAAUCAACAAAAACAACUGCUGAACCAACUAAAACCACCACUACAUCAACAAAAACAACUGGUGAACCAACUAAAACCACCACUAAAUCAACAAAAACAACUGCUGAACCAACUAAAACCACCACUACAUCAACAAAAACAACUGGAGAACCAUCUAAAACCUCCACUGAGUCAACGACAACAAUUGGUGAACCCAUUAAAAUCGUUUUUGGGUCAUCAACAACAACUGAUGAACCCACUACCACCAUCACUGGUUCAUCCAGAACAACUGAUGAAAACACUGCAACCGACAAUGAUGCAUCGACAGAAACUGGUGAACCCAAUACAACCAUCAAUGAUUCAACAAAAACAACUAGUGAACCCACUACAACCAUUACUGAUUCAUCAACAACUGGUGAACCCAAUACAACAACUACCAGUGAAACUGCUACAACCAUCACUGGUGUUGUCGAUAACAACGGAUGCAGCUGCAACAGUCAUUGAUUCAUCAACAAUAACAGGUGAACUCACUCCAACCAUCGUUGAUGCAUCGAUAGUAACUAGUGAACCCACUGCAACCAUCACUGAUUCAUCAACAACAACUGGGGAACCAAAUACAUCCAUCACUGAGUCAUCAAAAGAAACUAGGCAACGCACUAUAACAUUAAGUGGAUCAUCGACAACAACUGGUGAACACACUACAAGAGUCCCUGCUGCGUCGACCACAACUGGGGAACCCACUACAAUCGACAUUGAUGCAUCAACAACUACUAGUGAAAACACAACAAUGGUCAGUGCUGAAUCGAAAACAACUGGUGAACCCACUACAACCAUGACUGGUGUGUCAACAAUAACGGUUACAGUUUCACCCACUACAAACAUCACUGGUAGAUUGACAUCAACAGUUACAGCUGCACCCACUACAACUGUCAUUGGAGCAUCAAUAACAACUGGUGAACUUACUUCAACUGUUAUUGGUGUGUUGACAACAACUGGUGAACCCACUACAACAGUCACUCGUGGGUCGACAACAACUAGUGGACCCACUACAACCAUAACUGAUUCAUCAACUACAGCUGGUGAACUCACUACAUCCAUCACUGAGUCAACAAAAACAACUGGUGAACCCACUAUGACCGUCACUGGUGUGUUGACAACAACUGGUGAACGCACUACAAUAUUCACUGGUGUGUCGUCAACGAGUGGUGCAUCAACAACUACUGGUACAGCUGCACCCACUACAACCGUCACUAGUGCAUCAAAUGCCACCACAACUACAAUAGCUACUCCUGUCAUCACUACUGCCAUCAUCACAGCCACAACAACUGCAACUACCGCUGUUGCAAUCAUUAGGUUGCCUGUGGUGUUCCGGUCCAGAGGAGAGACAUUUACCUCUGAUCUAUCAAACCCAUCAUCUCAGGCCUUUCAAACCCGAGCAUUACUGAUUAAAACUCAGGUUGAACCUUUCUAUCAAUCAGCUUUCACGUCUUUCAACAGUUUGACUGUGACAGAAUUCAGCUCUGGAUCCAUCAUCAAUACUGUAAAUGUAGCAUUCAGCUCCCCCUCUGUCCCUAAUAUCACGGAGAUUGGCACUGUUUUGAUAAAUGCUGCCCAAAACAUCACAGCUUUCAACAUUGACCCCUCCUCAGUGACAGUCAACAGCACAGCUGCAGCCACAAAAAUACUUACCAGUGCAAUAACAACGAGUGGCUUAUCGACAAGAACUGGUGAACCCACUACAACCGUCACCAGUGUGUCGACAAUGAGUGGUGCAUCAACAACUGCUGUUACAGCUGAACCCACUACAACUGUCAAUGAUGCACCGACAACAACUGGUGAACCCAAUACAACCAUAACUGAUACAUCAACAACAACAACUGGUGAACCCACUGAAACCGUCACUGGUUCAUUGAAACUAACUGGUGAAUUCACUACAACCGUCACUGGUGUGUCGACAACAACUGACAAACCAACUACAACCAUCACUGGUGUGUCGAUAAAGUUUACAGCUGCACCCACUACAAACGUCACUGGAGCAUCAACAACAACUGGUGAACUUACUUCAGCCGUUGUUGGUGUGUCGACAACAAGUUACGAAUCAACAACUACUGUUACUGCAGCACCCACUAUAACCGUCACGGGUGUGUUGACAACAACAGGUGAACCCAAUAUAAACGCUACUGGUGCACCAAAAACUACUGAUGAACCCACUACGACCAUCACUCGUGUGUCGACAACAAGUGGUGAACCCCCUACAUCCAUCACUGGUGUGUCGACAACAACGUUUACAACUGUACCCAUUACAAACGUAACUGGUGCAUUGACAACAACUGGUGAACUUACUUCAACUGUCAUUGGUGUGUCGUCAACAAGUUAUGCAUCAACAAUUACUGUUACUGCAGCACCCACAACAACCGUGUCGACAACAACUGGUGAACCCACUACAACCGUGUCGACAACAACUGUUGAACCCACUGCAACCGUUACUGGUGCAUUGACAACAACUGGUGAACCCAGAACAACCAUUACUGGUGUGUCGGCAACAACUGGUGAACCCACUGCAACCAUCACCGGUGUGUUGACAACAACGGUUACAGCUGUACCCAUUACAAACAUAACAGGUGCAUUGACAACAACUGGAGAACUCACUUCAACCGUCACUGGGGUAUUGACAAGAACUGGUGAACCCAGAACAACCGUCACUGUGGUGUCGACAACAAGUGAUGCAUCAACAACUACAUUUACUGCAGCACCCACUACAACCGUCAUGGGUGUGUUGACGACAACUGGUGAACCCACUACAACCGUCGAUGGUGUGUCGACAACAACUGAUGAACCAAUUACAACUAUCAGUGGUGUGUUGAUAACAAAGUUUACAGCUGCACCCAUUACAAACGUCACUGGAGCAUCAACAACUGGUGAACUUACUUCAACUGUCAUUGGUGUGUCAACAACAAGUGAAGCAUCAACAACCACUGUUACUGCAGCACUAACUACAACUGUCACUGGUGUGUCAACAACAACUGGUGAACCCACUGCAAACAUCACCGGUGUGUUGACAACAACGGUUACAGCAGUACCCAUUACAACUGUCACGGGUUUGUCGACAACAACUGGUGAACCCACUACAACCAUCACUGGUGUGUCGACAACAACUGGUGAACCCACUGCAACCCUCACCGGUGCAUCAACAACUAAUACUACAGCUGCACCCAUUACAACUCUCACUGAUGCAUCAACAACAAUGGUUACAGCUGUAUCCAUUUUAACCGUAACUGGUGCUUUGACAACAACGGUUAGAGCCGCAGCCACUACAGCCGUCACUGGUGUGUCGACACCAAGUGAUGCACCAACAGCUACUGUUACUGCAGCACCCACUACAACCGUCAUGGGUGUGUUGACGACAACUGGUGAACCCACUACAACAUUAACUGGUUCAUCGACAACUACUAGUGAACCCACGACAGCCGUUACUGGUCCAUUGACAACAUCUGGUGAACCCACUACCACAAUCACUGGUGUGUCGACAACAAUGGUUACAGCUGUACCCAUUACAACCGUAACUGGUGCAUUGACAAGAGCGAUUACAGUGGCUCCAAAUACAACCAUCACUGUUGUGCCGUCAACUACUGAUGAACCCAAUUCAACUGUCACUGGUGGGUUGACAACAACUGGUGAACCCACUACAACCGUCACUGGUGCAUCGACAACAACGGUUACAGCUGUACCCAUCACAUCAAUAGGUGGUGCAUUGACAACUGGAGAACUCCCUUCAACCGUCACUGCUGCUCUUGCAACAAGUACUGUUCCUCCUACAACUUCUGUUACAACCCCUGUGGCUGGUACUACCACCACAACAACUGGAGAACCUGUUACUGUUCCGGCUACCGUUCCUACAACUAGGCCCACAACUACAACCACUACAUACGUGGCCCCCACAACUACAGUGUCAAGGACAACAUCACCACUGUCAACAACUACCAGCACAGCUCCAACUACCACAACAACCAACGCACCAACCACUACUACAACACCUACUACUACUACUAGUACAACCACUACUACAACACCUACUACUACUAGUACAACAACAACUACAACUAAAACAACAACUGCACAUCUCCAACCUGCUCCACUGGUGGUUUUCGUCAUACAACAAGUGUUUGUAGAAGCUUUAAAUGACCCUCAAAGUCCACAAUUCCAAGAACUUGCAGUAACUAUUACUGCAGUGUUUGAUGUGAUCUACAAAGCAAAAUAUGGGAUCCUUUUCAUCCGGACAAUUGUUAUUGGAUUCACACCUAUUUUCCGUUCUCGUAUGGAUGCAGAAACACAGGCGGAGGUCCAGCUAGUGUUCAGUGAGACCUCCACUCAAUCUGUCCCUGAGGUUACUGACAUUAGCAAUACACUGAAAGAGGCUGUGACCAAUCCAAACAUUACCUUUGGCAACCUCUCUGUGGAUGUUACCACCAUCAUUGUUAAAGUGCCCACCACAAAUGCCAACUCAACUGCAACGGUAACUCCUGUCAUCACUACUUCCAUCAUCACAACUACAACCACUGAAACUACCGCUGUGGCACUCACUAAGGUGACUGUGGUGUUCAGGUCCAGAGGAGAGACAUUUACCUCUGAUCUAUCAAACCCAUCAUCUCAGGCCUUUCAAAGCCGAGCAUUACUGAUUAAAACUCAGGUUGAACCUUUCUAUCGAUCGGCUUUCACCUCUUUCAACAGUUUGACUGUGACAGAAUUCAGCUCUGGAUCCAUCAUUGAUACUAUGAAUUUAGCAUUCAGCUCCUCCUCCGUCCCAAAUUCCAAGGAGAUUGGCACUGUUUUGAUAAAUGCUGCGCAAAACAUCACAGCUUUCAACAUUGACCCCUCCUCAGUGACAGUCAACGGCACAGCUGUGACCUCAAGUGGAGUAAGCAGCAAGACCAGUCUCUUCACAGCAUUCUUUCUGGUGGUUCUGUCUCUGCUACUGUCAAGUCAGCAUUAGUCUCAGUGGUAACGCCCACUUGGUAGUCAUAUUUUCACUUUGAGAACUUCCCACACAUUCCAAACCCUACCCCAAUUCCACCUAUGAUUGGAAUAGUGUUCAAAAAUGAAAUGAAGUCUUGUAAGCUGACAUAAGAUACAGUCUAUGUGGCAGUUGAACACAACGAUGUGAUAUAAUUACUGCCUAUUCAAUCAAAAUGUGUAAGUGCAUGGGUUUCCAUCAUAAGUCAAUGUUAUUUCCAUGCAAUGACAAAGCAUGUUUGAUUUAAUAUGCACUUAAGGUUAUUGUUGAUUCACUCUGUUGCUGAUAUGAACUAAAACAUUGAUUCGCUCUGUUGCUGAUAUAAACUAA